UAUGUAAUAAGGAAUUCAGUAACAUGUUUUUAUACCGGGUUCAACAACUGUUUCAGAAACAAUAUUGGUAUAUUUAUAUUUAAAAAAACUUCUCCAGUGGAAUCCGUGUCGCCAACAGUUUUUCCUUUCGAAGCAAUAUAAAUGUGUUAAUGAACAUUGGCAUUUAGACCAGCGGGUUUCAUCUGUAGUAAACAGGGUGCAGGAUCACGUGAUGUGUGGGGUUCCCAAUUAAACUUUAAUGGAUGUUAACACUCCGCCCGUGUGUAAACCCCUGAAAACCCCGUUGAUCCUGCACCUGGUUACACAUAUUUGGGAUUCUGGAAGUAUUUUUUACCCGUAAAUCGGUAUGUAAGAUUUUCCUCUCGACAUUCGGUCUUGGCAGGUCAUAUCGGCCAUAAUGAACGGACAAAGAAACUUAUUGAAAUAUUAUUUACAGAACAUUAUUUGCAUUCAUAAAGUUAUUUUGAUGAAAGAAUGGAUCUUAAAUAUGCAAAUGUGUUGUAUAUGUUAUGCUAAUAAUCAUUAAUUAUUAAGGGUCACGGUAAUAAAGAUUUUUAUUAUU